UAAAGUCCGCAGGCUACUACCCUGCAUCCCCUGAAUGCAACUCAGGUACUUUAAUUAAGCUAGAACCUU
rnacentral:tRNA from 1 species